CGAUUCUCCACCUACUCCCCUCGCUGCCAUUAGGUAAUUUUGAAGCAAAUCACAGACAUCAUUCAUGCCAAGAGGGGACAAAAGCUGAAUUAUAAGCCCACACAAUUUAUGGUUCUUCAGGUUUGCCACUUGGAUGUCUACAACCGUGUCAACUCACUACUAAGUCAGCUGCAAAUUACUCGGUUCCCAACCUAAUAUUUGGUGUACAAAUGAGGGCACCGUGCUCUGUAAAGUUGUUCUUGCACAGUUGCGUCUGCCUCAGCAGGGAAAACGUAUGAGAAGACUGGGAUAGAGAGCCAGGAUAUGACCUGAAGUAGUCGAAAUCCAAUGUGCGAGUUUUCAGUCUGUUCACUCUGGGAAUGAAAUGGAAACUUUCGUGCACGACUCGACCGGGAAGCCAGGAAUUCCCACUUGCUCGUUUGUUCUUACCUUCCUAGACAAUCCUACCAAAUCAUUGCAACUUGGUGCAGAGAAAGAAC